CCACUGAGCCACCCAGGAGCCCCUCUUACAUCUCCUUUCAGAGCAAAGAAGGAUCAUUUAUGACCGUAGCCCUUCCAGGGGCCCUGCACACAUCUGAGCAGCUCAGCCCAGAAGAGGUUGUGUCCCAUGCCCUGUUCUGAUGAGGUUGAGGUUGUUUUCACUAAGAGUGGCCCCCCAAGAUCUUUCCGCAUCAGCGCCUGCAUUCCGGCGUCAUUCCUGUUGGGGGUGACAGAGUGUCCCAUAGCCUGUGUUCAUUAGUCCAUCAUCCCUCGGUGUGGAUUUGGGUUUUCCAGUUGUGGCGUUUUAUGCAGAUCUCUUGGCAUCUCUUGGCGUACCGUUGAUGUCCUUGACGCGAAUCCCCACAGAGGAAUUCUGGAGCCCGCUUUCGAUUUCUUCGAGUCUGGUUGUUUUCCACCUCAGCCCCAGAUCCGGCAGCACCGGCUAGAGUGAUUCUUAGCACACGAAAGGCACCUGUGUUCUUGGAGGUUCCCCGGGACCCCAAGUAAUUCCCUAGCUUGGAUGUGCCCGUAACGUAAAAAGCGCGAAGCUUGUCACCACGCGUCCGUGGCUCAGUCGGGACAGGAAGCCGAGCGCCGGGAGAGCUGGGAGGUACUGAACCUUGUCAGGGGCAUUUCAUUCCUUCAGCAGGUGCUUACCGAGUGUCUCGUGGAUGCCAGACACUGGGGAGACAGAGUCAGAAAGAUGGUGCUUCUCCACUUGGAGCCCACCUUCCCGCGAGGAGUGCUCCCAGCCCAGUGGGAGCACCAGCAGAUGGGCGUAGAGGGGGCGAGCCCUGGCGUGCGGAAGGACCAGACCUGUGCCCGGGGACUCGGGGAUGCGACCGUGGAGGCGGGGAGGUGCUCCAGGUGGAGGCCUCUCCAGCGGCAAAGGCUCAGAGGCUUGGAGAGCUGAGUCAGGGCAAGCGGCGAUGGUUGGCGCUGGCGAUGGUUGGUGCUGGCGAUGGUUGGCGCUGGCGAUGGUUGGCGCUGGCGAGAGCCCCACCCUGGAGACCUCAUGUGGCGGUGUUGGAGCUCGGCAGCCGCGGGUGGCGGGCAGCGCGCGUGGGCACUCAGGCGUGGAGAGGAGCCGUGCUUCCCGGGCUGGAGCACCGGCCUCGCGUGAGUGUGUCUGGAAUGUGUGGCGGGACACGGCUACCGGGUUUUGGUGUUGCAGGCUGAGAAAGGAAGCCGUCAUCGGAAACUCUUUCUCCGUCCUGUUAUACGUGAAAGUACGUUGCAGGCCCAGUCGAGUAGCAAGGACAUAAUCUUAAAAUAAAGGACAGUGUUUGCCAAGGAGAAAAAUAAACAGGAAAUCAAUCAGCACCUGUGUAAGUGUAUGUUAUAUAAUACCCGUGCCCGUUCUGUAUGCAUGUGUCUGUCAGUUUUGCAUGUGGUGUGUUUACCGUGCUAAGGAACAAGCCCCAAGAUUCGCUGCUUACUCAUUCAUGCUCUGGCAGGUUGGCUGGAGGCGUUGGGGGGGGUUGUCUCCUCCGCAAGUCCUCAGCAAGGCGCAGGCUGAGAGACAGACAGUCCAUCUCUGAGCUCCAAGGAUAGUCCAUGCAGAAAAAAGGGACACAGUGUGCUGUCUCCUGAAACUUCUGUCUGGAAGGGACAAUGCGCUUUUGUUUGUGACCUACAGCCACCCGGUGCCCCCCCACCACCUUGCUUUUUUUUUUUUUUUUUUUAAAGUUCUGUUGUGUUCCUUACCAGCUCCCCUGUGGACUGUCACAGACACGUGGGCAAGUGUGUGUCCUAUGCAUGUGGAAGACAGGGGAGGCGGAGGACGGAUGUCGAUCAGGACUUUUUGGGGAGUGCUAAGGGUUACUUGGGAAAGCAGAACCCUCUAGAUGGUGAGCUUCCAACCACUUGUUUUUCUGCUAGACGCCCAGUGAGUUCAUCUCAUUAUUUAUAGCUUCACAUUUCUGAAUCAACAACACUCAACGGCAAUUUCCUCUGCCCCUUUCCAGGAGAUGCGGCAAAAGCUCACGGGUGGCGGUUUCAGCACGACUCAGGGCGCCCUCCCCGCACCUGCUGCCUCGUUAAUAUCUUGCUUAGUGUUGAUUAUGUGUUACAGUCGUAUUUGGGAUAUGUUGGGUUAAAUAAAAUGCAGCAUUAAAAUAAA